GAUGAACGCUGGCGGCGUGCCUAAUACAUGCAAGUCGAGCGAACAGACGAGGAGCUUGCUCCUCUGACGUUAGCGGCGGACGGGUGAGUAACACGUGGAUAACCUACCUAUAAGACUGGGAUAACUUCGGGAAACCGGAGCUAAUACCGGAUAAUAUAUUGAACGGCAUGGUUCAAUAGUGAAAGACGGUUUUGCUGUCACUUAUAGAUGGAUCCGCGCCGCAUUAGCUAGUUGGUAAGGUAACGGCUUACCAAGGCAACGAUGCGUAGCCGACCUGAGAGGGUGAUCGGCCACACUGGAACUGAGACACGGUCCAGACUCCUACGGGAGGCAGCAGUAGGGAAUCUUCCGCAAUGGGCGAAAGCCUGACGGAGCAACGCCGCGUGAGUGAUGAAGGUCUUCGGAUCGUAAAACUCUGUUAUUAGGGAAGAACAAAUGUGUAAGUAACUAUGCACGUCUUGACGGUACCUAAUCAGAAAGCAACGGCUAACUACGUG
rnacentral:rRNA from 1 species